UACGGGGGGGGCAAGCGUUGUUCGGAAUUACUGGGCGUAAAGGGCUCGUAGGCGGCCAACUAAGUCAGACGUGAAAUCCCUCGGCUUAACCGGGGAACGGCGUCUGAUACUGGAUGGCUUGAGUUCGGGAGAGGGAUGCGGAAUUCCAGGUGUAGCGGUGAAAUGCGUAAAUAUCUGGAGGAACACCGGUGGCGAAGGCGGCAUCCUGGACCGAGACUGACGCUGAGGAGCGAAAGCCAGGGGAGCAAACGGG
rnacentral:rRNA from 1 species